rnacentral:lncRNA from 1 species
AGCCCAUCUGCUUCUUAAGGAUGCUGUCUAUGCCUCAUUUAUCAAUGUAUAUCUGGCACCAAAGACCUGGCUCCCCAGCUGGUACAGGAGCAACAGAAAUGCCUGGUUUCAAGGGACCAUGCAUGACUUUUAAAUGAGGAUCUUACAUUGACCACUACCGACCAAAGGCAAAGAACCAUCUCUCCUCUCUUACUGUUUCACAUCACCCCAACCCUCCAAAGGAUGCAUGGCCCUGACAUGUGAGAGGGAGAAAAUACUGACCCCGUGACCAGCAUUUGAGAUGAGGGAGGAAACAUGGCAAAUCCUUAUGGAAACUUCUACUUCCAGGGAUCUGCAUCCCAGCAAGUCUUCAUUAUGUCAUACCUGCAAGACAAGGGCCAUUUACUAUCCCUCCUCAAUGCCCUCAGCUUGUUUUCAAAUGUAUGGGCAUCCAGCAACUUCAGUAAUAAUUCCAGGGCUAUGCAACUGGACAUAUGGACUGACAUAUAGAUAACAUAAAACACUGCAUGUAUGAAAUAUUACUGAAACUUUCUGUAUUUUUGGUGACAAGAGAUUAUGAAAAUAAACUACAGAAAUGACAUUUGACCAGUGUGUCAUAAAGAAUCCAAGUGACAUUUCAAACUGUGUUAUGAAAACCCUCAACAUCUGGGUUUCUGUCUCUAAAAAGAAAAAUAAAAGGGAAAACGUGACCUAAAGGAAAAAUUUUUUGGCUCUUACAUUUCAGCAGGUGCGUGUUCAGGGCUGAGCAUCCGGAAGCCUUCCUUGAUCAUCUUGUAGAACUUAGAAUCGACCGGCAUUCCAGGAUAGGGGCUGCUUCCUGAGACACAGUUUGCAAAGCAGUGUUAAUCACAAGGAAGCAGGACACCAAUGAAACUUCAAGAAGAUGCUCUGAGUCUAAUGAAGUUGUCUUUGGCAAGGAUCAUUUUACCUAAAGAGAACAGCUCCCAAAGAAAAAUCCCAUAGGACCAGACGUCACUUUCAAACGUGUAUACACAGUUGAAAAUGCUUUCAGGUGCCAUCCACUUCACAGGUAGUCGAGCCUGUAAUAGAAGCACAACAGAGUCAAUAAUGUUAAUUCAGAAGCUCAACAAAAUUGAACAGAAGAUAUUCUUAUAGAUGCUGCUGUUGCUGAAAUGUGGAGUGAUAACUUGAGUACCAUCUCACAAAAACCUUUUACCUAUAUGAACUCAGAUGAUCCCAAUCACCUCUGAAAUACAUGGCUCACAAGUGCAUUAUCCCCAUUUUAAGAUGUGAGCACUAUGUCAGUACGGCAUGGAGAUUAAGAGCACAAACGUCAGAGACAGCCAGACAUUUUAGCCCUGGCUCCACCAUGGGCCUUAGGUAAUGCAGAGAUUUGUUAGUUUCCACUGAAUAUGUCCCUCUCCUUCCUUAAAAACAGAAACACGGCCUCUCACAAUUAGGACUACAUUUCCCAGCCUCCUUUGCAGCUAGCUAGCUGUAGUUAGGUGACUCGGUUUUGGCCACUAAGUUGUAAGUGCUGUAUAGCAGCUUCAGGAAAACCUCCUUACAAUAUAGCUGGCACGUGCCCUCUGCCCUCUCUUCUCUAGUGCAAGGGCCCCCUGCCUUCUGGAUAUGAUGGCUGGCUAUCCACCUGGUGGUCAUCUUGGACCAUGGACAUGGGGGUUACACUCAGGAAUGGCUAAGCAUGGAAAGGAAAGACUUGCCCGGGUACUCCAUGGAACCUUUAUACCAAUCCUGGUAUAAAGUCUACUCCUAGACUUCUUUUAUUUUGGGUUUUCUGUCAAAACCCAAAACUUUCUCUAAUACACUGGGAAAGUCACUAAAAUAUUUGUAAUUAAGCCUCAGUAUCUUCUUCUGUAAAACAAAAUGAAUACUUUUAAUUUUAUGAAUUGUCUUGUGGGUUAAAUAAGAUAAAAUGGGUAAAAAUGCUUAGCACCGCCUGACUCAGUGCUAUCUGAAAAAUUGCCUAGAAGAAAGGCAAGUACUUGAUAAACAGUAGUGGCUUGUGAUCCUGACUCUUUGGAGAACUCUCUCCAUUAAAGUUGAGCUAAACUUUCUGUAACUAGUCCUUUUAGAUGCAUUCUGGAUUCCCAAUCUUAAUCUGCCAUAAAAAGCUAAAUCAAUCCUUCUCUUAAUCCAUUUAGGAUUGAAAACUGGGAAAGCUUUUUUUUUUUUUCUUUUUUUUUUUUGGUGUUAAAGUUAUUUUAGUCAGCUUACAAAAACAAAACAAAAAACUUCCAAUAUCCCUUCCCUUCCUAGAUGUUGUGCUAAAGUUCCUAUAAGGGCUCCUAACCUGAGAUCUAUGGGUGUCAAAUUCAGGGGCCUGUGAACUUGGAAAGGAAAAAUGACAUCCUUAUUUUCGCUAAUUUCUAGAUGAAAUUUAGCAUUUCUUUAAAUUACUAACAAAGGUGAUAAAACGCAGUAGUAUCAGCUGUACCUGUGACUUUGUCAUGAACAGUAAUCAUAAAUAUCUUCAUAUCCUAUUAAGUCUUUAUAGGUAUCUCAAAAUCAUAUUUACAUUAAUCACCACUCUAAAAUUACAGUGGUUUUUAGAAAAAAUAGCAAAACCCACAAUUACUUUUACACCAACCUAACAGAGCCUGUUACACUCUAUAGUAAACACAUGUACUGACAUAUCACAAAUUUACUUAGUAUCUUCAUAGCUAUUUCGAUUUAACUGUUUUCCUUGGUAUUCCUAUGUAUUUCAUCAUAGGCGUUGAAAACAGUGUUCUGAUAAGGGUCCCAUAGGCUUUACCAGGCUCUAAAAGGGGCCAUGACAUGAAAAACAAUGAAGAACUCAUGUGAAAGGAAAGAACUUCAGAGAACCUGACACAACAAGGAGAUCUCAAAUGAUGAUGACAAAAAUGUGGGGCGGUAACAUAUAUGAGUUUCCUUCUUCUUAUCUUGUUCCAGAAAUUCUCCUUACCCACUAGCCUGGUGAAAGCGAGAUCUGUGAUUGGUUAGUUCAACUGACUUGAACUGGAGUCUACAAUCUGGAAGCCUGAUAGAGCCAACCCCUCUUUGUCAUUUCAAACUAAGGUCACUAACCAAUAACAAGACAGUAUGUAACCACCGUCACGAUUAUUUAGAUCGUAAAUAAGACAUCUAUAAAGAAUAGUAACAAUAUGUCUGGCACUGUCAUAAGCACUUUACAUAUAUUAACUCAUAACUUUCUGAGUCAGGAAUCACUAUUAUUCCCAAGGGGAGAAAAACAAAGAUUCAGAGGUAUUGGACAACUCUUGACAAAAUUACACAGGCAUGAAAUAAUGGAGACAGAUUGCAGAAUUCAUCAAGACUGGGCCUGGAGGCGGCCACCUUCUUCCUCCUCCCUUUGGUCAAUAUUCAGAGGACUGGAUAAUUAACGACUUAUCAUUCUUCCUUCCAAAAUUGCACCAGGAUGAAGAGAAGUUGUUUUUAUUAUCACUCCUGAUGAUAAUAUCUAGCUUCAGGGCAGCCUUUUCAGAAAUUCAUGCUUUGGCCAGGAGAUAAACACAGAAACACUCUUACAAAACCAAAUCGAGUACAGGCUACCAAUAGAGACGCCACAGUGAUGGGGGGAAAACAUUACAUUAUCAUAAGGGGCACAAAAAUCCACCUCCAGGAAUAAAUCUGGACUGCAGAAAUGGGCCCAGGAAGACAGGCAGAGAAUAUUAUAAAGGGCAAUAUGGUUUUCCAUGGCGAUGGGAUGCCACUCUGGAAAUCACAGGCUCUAGUUUCAGCCUCUAUUGUCCUGUGUCACCUCAGAUAAAAAGCACUAAAAUAUGCCAUGCCUUAGUUUCUCCAACUUUUAAAAUAGGAAGGUGCUGCAAUUAUAGGACAAGGGUUUGUUCUGAGGAUUCAAUAAAAAUUGGCAAGGAAAUACAGCACUUUGAAAAACAUUUGCUAUGUUCUACAAACCCAUUAUUACUUAUGAACCUAUUUAAUAGCUCUCCGUGUAUUCUAGGAUCCAACAUUCUAUAUGGCUAACUCUGAAUAUGAUCUUAGAUUUUAAUAUUUUUCACACGGCAUGCCAAUCCCCCCAAAAUUUCUCCUGCUGUGACCUUCAAUGACCUACAUUUGUUACACUUGAGCAAAAUCAAGUUCAUUGCUAUUCUCAGGCUAUAAUGAAAAUUAAGGCUAUUUCUGUUUCCUUCACAUGCCCCAAAAUUACACAAUUAGAAUUAGGACUUCUAUUAUUGAAUGUUAGUUGUAGUAAUGUUCAGCAUACCAUGCAAAUUUUGCU